rnacentral:misc_RNA from 1 species
GAACGCAUAUUGCACUCUCUGGUAUUCCGGGGAGUAUGCCUGUUUGAGGGUCAGUAAAUAAUAAUUAUCAUAAUCUUUUGAUUGUGGAAUUGGGCCUUUAUUUCAUUAAUGAUUUAUGGCCUCAAAUUUACGUUACCGCUUGUUUAAUAUGAAAUUCGACCGAAUGGAGCAAUUAAACAUUCUCUCGUUAGGCGGAUUCAUCAUCAAGCAAUUACGAUUUUUUGGCCGUCGAAGCACUUUUUUUUUAGAAGUGCUUGGUCGAGAUUGUAAGAUACAUUUAACAAUGACCUCAAAUCAGGCAAGAAUACCCGCUGAACUUA